GCCYGUUUUUCAAAAACAUCUUUUCUUGUUAGUUUUUGAAGUAUGGCCUGCCCACUGAUUUUAUUUGAAGGGCCGCGGUAUUUUGACCGUGCAAAGGUAGCAUAAUCAUUAGUUCUUUAAUUGUGAUCUGGUAUGAAUGGUUUGACGAGGCAUUUACUGUCUUAAAAGUAUUGUUUAUUGAAUUUGGAUUUUGAGUUAAAAUUCUUAAAUGUUUUUAUGGGACGAGAAGACCCUAUAGAGUUUAACAUCUUUCUUGUUUAUUAUGUAUUUGUUUUUGUUUAUAUUGAGUUUGGAAUUUGUUUUGUUGGGGUGAUGGGAGGAAUAGUAUAACUCCUCUUUAUUUUAUAUAUUUAUUUAUAUUUUUUUGAUCCAUUUAUUUUGAUUAUAAGAUUAAAUUACCUUAGGGAUAACAGCGUUAUCUUCCUUGAGAGUUCUUAUUGGCGGGAAGGUUUGCGACCUCGAUGUUGGAUUAAGGUGAAUUUUCGGUGCAGAAGCUGAAAUGAUUAGGUCUGUUCGACCUUUAAAAUCUUACGUGAUCUGA
rnacentral:rRNA from 1 species